GUGGGGAUAGGUGAGUGGUAGAGGAGAGG
rnacentral:tRNA from 1 species